CCCCGUGCCGGGGGAUACCGCCUGGAAACAGGCGCUAAUACCGCAUAAGCGCAUACAGCCGCAUGGGUGUAUGCGGAAAGCUCCGGCGGCACGGGAUGGGCCCGCGCCCGAUUAGCCAGUUGGCGGGGUAAAGGCCCACCAAGACGAUGAUGCAUAGCCGGCCUGAGAGGGCGGACGGCCACAUUGGGACUGAGACACGGCCCAGACUCCUGCGGGAGGCAGCAGUAGGGAAUUUUCGUCAAUGGGCGCAAGCCUGAACGAGCGAUGCCGCGUGAGUGAAGAAGGCCUUCGGGUCGUAAAGCUCUGUUGCGGGGGAAAAAAGGCAGCAUCAGGAAAUGGGUGCUGACUGAUGGUGCCCCGCCAGAAAGUCACGGCUAACUACGUGCCAGCAGCCGCGGUAAUACGUAGGUGGCGAGCGUUAUCCGGAAUGAUUGGGCGUAAAGGGUGCGCAGGCGGUCCUGCAAGUCUGGAGUGAAACGCAUGAGCUCAACUCAUGCAUGGCUUUGGAAACUGGAGGACUGGAGAGCAGGAGAGGGCGGUGGAACUCCAUGUGUAGCGGUAAAAUGCGUAGAUAUAUGGAAGAACACCAGUGGCGAAGGCGGCCGCCUGACCUGUUGCUGACGCUGAGGCACGAAAGCGUGGGGAGCAAACAGGAUUAGAUACCCUGGCAUUCCACGCCCUAAACGAAUGUUAUUAGUUU
rnacentral:rRNA from 1 species